CCGAAACAUCAGAAACUUGAAAACAAGUCUCCUUAAAAAUUUUUCUGUGGAGUAUCUGUCACAGUGAGAGUUAACAUGGAGACUAGGGUCAAACAGGACAGAGGCAGCCUUAUGCAGUUGGCCUUGUGGUGGAGAGAGCUGUCUUCCCUCCAGUCCUCCUGACCAGGCUUCAGGGUUUCGUGGGGAGGCAGGCUCCGGGAGCCUCAGCACUCAGCUGGUGUACGGUCUGGGGCCCAUCUCUGGGAGGCACUACAGUGGGAGAGAAGACAAGCCCCAGGAAGGACGAGGAUGUGCAGGGCCCUGCUACAGGACGCUGUGUAGGGAGCCCGGCCCUGCGACUGGUCAUAUCAGAGGAAGACAGGCCAGGCUGUGUGGGCCAGGCCCAAAGCCACAUUCACCUCAAGGUCGCCCACAGUCUCCACGAGCCAGCAUUCUACAUAGUGCCCAGACUGGCGAGGGCCUGAGAGGAGAUCCCUUCAUGGACAAACGCUGUGGGUGCCAGUAUCUGACAUGUCCUUCGUGGCAAUGUUCAUCUGGUACAAGGAACACGGCGGGCCUCUGGCUGGAGCAGCCAUCUUGGAGCAGCCACUGUAAAGUCUGCAGCCACAAGAGAUGUCUCCAACCAGGAAGUACGCAGGGCCACCAGGAGUUCAAGGCCAAGCUUCACUAUGUAGUCAGUUCCAGGACAGCCUGUCUCAAAAACAAUCAAAAAGAAUGGGACACCCUGUGCACGGUGGGGAUGGAUACUGUUUCCUGUGCCUUCAACCUCGUGGCCGCUCCUCUCCAACAUCAUCUGACUGGCUAUGAGACACCCCUAAGAGACCAGUACCUCUAGGUUUGCUAUGAGGGCAUUGGGCAGAAGGCACCCAGAGUGUGAGAGGCGAGAGGCACCAUGUGGAGCAGGGAAGGAAGGGAGAGCGCACAAUGUGCUCUGCUUCCUGCCCGUCAUGAGGUAAGUAGCUGUGCUCUACACUGCCCUCUCAGCUGCCAAGGACUGGAACCUCUGAGGUGAGCAAAGAAAACCAUUCUCCUUCCCAACCCAUAAAUGGCUGCUCUCGGGCUCCUGUCUCCCACAGGGUCUGCCUCUAAGGCUCAGCUCUCUAAAGAGUCACCCAAGGCUGCCUGGCCCACGUGUGUCCCAGGCGGUUUUAACAACACCUCCACAGUCAGCUGGCACCAACUGGGGCAGAACAGUUCAUAACUAGUUUCCACAGGGACUGACCAGCCCUAUCAGUCCACUACAGAGCACUGUCCCACACUGUCGCUUCCAAUGUGGGGCCAUAGGAAGACCUCCAACAAGGCAGUACAGACAGACCCAACACCUACCGGAUACAAGGCACUGUGGAGGACACAGUGGAGGUGCCUGGGGUAACAGGUGACCCUCAAGAGGACCAGCAGGGGUUGAGAAGCAAGGAUCAAGGAAGGGCCAGGUGUGUGUCUUCCAGCUGUUUACUAGGCAUCCGUCAUGGUCAACAGAGGUAAGGUACAGCACGAGGGCAGCAGAACAGUGCGCACACUCCGGGCAUCCCCUGGAAAUAAGGGGAACGGUGGAGCAGGACCCUGAGGUCCUCCUGACCCCACAUCAGAAAGACAUUUAGGAUGGACACUGUUAAGAAUCAGAUCUGCUUCGGCUAGGACAUGGGGGAGGGGUAUGUAGCUGGGCGGGGUGAACCGCUGUGCAGUAAGUUCAGAGCAGGAUCCUGUACAGCAGGGCUUCACAGCAAAUGUCUACGCUUCCCUUCAGGAGGCCCCAGUGCCCAGCUGCCUCCUCACGACCUCCACUCAGGCCACUCAAGCAAAUCCUGAAUGCGUGGACUGAGCACGCGAGGGCUUCCCACUCGUAUGAGGAUGUCUGCAGAGCCAAGAGUCUCACAGGCUCAGCUGGCAGAGCCACCUGUGCUCAGGGCUGAGGACUUAGAGAACAAGGACCACAUUUCUCAAGCGGAGCUCUCGGGGACGGAGGAAGCAACUGGACAUAAACAGCUGGACUCCGAGCUCAGAGGGCGAGAGGUGCAGCCUAUCAGACAGAUGGCCUGGGCUGGGCUUGCUGCUGGUGAGGCCUCAAGGGGAGUGGCCGAGCAGCCUCCAUCAGGAGGGGAUGGAGGGGACUGAGCAGCAAAAGGAAAAAUGCUCGAACCAGGCCAGGAAGAGCUAUGUGCACAUGCGGCAGACAGAGCCCCGAAAGGACAAAGAGCAGUGUCAGCACUGACACUUCGAUCCGCACGUCUCUCUGAGUACCACAUAUAGCCAACCAGGGCUCCUGAUGGCCCAGCGGCACCUGCAGCACAGACCAGGGCAGCUUCCGUCUUACUCUCCCCUCUGCCCUGGAGAGUGCAGGUGGAGGAAAAUGAAGCUCCCACCUGCAAGACUGCGGCUCCAAUGCUGCCUCACGCCAGCCCCACAUCACUGACAGCAAUGAUGCCUGUCUCUCAUUAUCGUUAAAGCCACUGGAUGAUGCUGAAAGGGAAACUUAAUGGGAACUCCUACACUCAAUCAGACGUACAUUUUUUUUAAAAUUCUGAUUUUAAUAAAAUCAACUUUAUUGGGA